UACGUAGGGUGCAAGCGUUGUCCGGAAUUAUUGGGCGUAAAGAGCUCGUAGGCGGUUUGUCGCGUCUGCUGUGAAAAACCCGAGGCUCAACCUCGGGCCUGCAGUGGGUACGGGCAGACUAGAGUUCGGUAGGGGAGACUGGAAUUCCUGGUGUAGCGGUGAAAUGCGCAGAUAUCAGGAGGAACACCGGUGGCGAAGGCGGGGUC
rnacentral:rRNA from 1 species